CUUGCUAAGUUUGAUGGCGACCGGCGCACGGGUGAGUAACACGUAUCCAACCUGCCGAUAACUCGGGGAUAGCCUUUCGAAAGAAAGAUUAAUACCCGAUGGCAUAAUAGAACCGCAUGGUUUGAUUAUUAAAGAAUUUCGGUUAUCGAUGGGGAUGCGUUCCAUUAGGCAGUUGGUGGGGUAACGGCCCACCAAGCCUUCGAUGGAUAGGGGUUCUGAGAGGAAGGUCCCCCACAUUGGAACUGAGACACGGUCCAAACUCCUACGGGAGGCAGCAUG
rnacentral:rRNA from 1 species